AGAACAGAAUGAUCAAAACAUUGAGUCAGUCGUUAGGUCUUCCAUCGAUUUUUUUGCACUGUUUUUAGCGUUUUUAGUGUUCAUACUAAUUUUAAACGCCCCAGAAAAAUCCAGAACGCCUGGAGCGCUAAGCGGAACGACUGUUGGAAUCCCCGGAUAAUGGAAAAUAAACAGGAAUCACUGCCAGCGUAUAGCAAUUGUUUAGAACCAACUGAUGGUUUACGCUUGGAUUUACGAAGUAAAACAGCAUCCGCCGUUAACCGCGGAAUGGAUUUUCAUCUCAACGAUCAAUAUUAUCGACAUAUUGGAGAAGCCGAUACACAGAACCACAAUGCCAGCUGAUCAGCUGGUUAAAAACAGGUAGUUUACCGACGGACCAGGUGGAUCGAUUAGGAUCUGGCGGAACGAUUAGGAUCUUGCGAGCCGAUCAGAACCUUGCGGGUCGAUUAGGACCAAGCUUUGCAACGAGAGAGUAGAAAAAGUGCUAUUGAGAAAAAUGGAUAUAAUAAAGAAAAGUGAUUUCUCGUGUGCAUUGGUUUAAAGUAUGGAAUGAAGGAAAACUUCUGUGAUAUAGGGUGGGUUGGACAGGUGUCACUGGUUUAGUUAACUUGAAACCAAAAAACUUGAUUAUGUAUCUUUAGGGGUUGUGCAUUAAUUACGUAAGCACUAAUGGGGAGGUCUGUAAUUUUCUCACGUCCAUAUAAACAAAAAAUAAUUUAUCUAUAACGAUAUCUGAAAAAAAAACGAUGAUUGGAAUAAAGAAGCAGUAU